GCCCCUGUGGUGGAAUUGGUAGACGCGCUGGAUUCAAAAUCCAGUUUCCUUUGGAAGUGUCGGUUCGAGUCCGACUGGGGGCACCA
rnacentral:tRNA from 1 species